GACGAACGCUGGCGGCGUGCUUAAUACAUGCAAGUCGAACGGAAAGGCGAUGCUUUUGUGGGGUGGUCGAGUGGGGAAGGGGGGAGUAAAACGUGAGUAACAUGCCCUUGACUUUGGGGUAAAUUCAGGGAAAUGGGGCUAAAAUAGGAGAGGAGCUAUUGCAGCGUGGUGGGGGUUGGAAAGGUUCGGCGGUUGGGGAUGGACUCGCGGCUUAUGAGCUUGUUGGUGAGGUAGUGGCUUACAAAGGCUUUGACGGGUAGGCGGCCUGGGAGGGUGACCGGCCACAUUGCGCCUGCGAUACGCCCCAGACUCCUACGUGCGGCAGCAGUGGAGAGCCUUGCACAAUGAGCGCACGCCUGUUGCAGCAACCCCGCGAUCGGGAUGCCCGCCUUCGGGUUGUAAACCGCUUUCGCCUGUGCCGAAGCGUGAGUGACGGUAAUGGGUAAAGAAGCACCGGCUAACUACGUG
rnacentral:rRNA from 1 species